rnacentral:rRNA from 1 species
AUACGUAGGGGGCGAGCGUUGUCCGGAUUUACUGGGCGUAAAGGGUGAGUAGGCGGUUAUAUGUGUCAGAUGUAAAAGGCUAUGGCUUAACCAUAGUUAGCCUUUGAAACUGUAUGACUUGAGUGCAGGAGCGGUAAGGGGAAUUCCUAGGGUAGCGGUGAAAUGCGUAGAUAUUAGGAGGAACACCAGUGGAGAAGGCGACUUACUGGACUGUAACUGACGCUGAGUCACGAAAGCGUGGGUAGCAAACAGGAUUAGAUACCCUGGUAGUCCACGCUGUAAACGAUGAGUGCUAGGUGUUGGCCAGCGAUGGUCAGUGCCGCAGUAAACACAUUAAGCACUCCGCCUGGGGAGUACGGUCGCAAGACUGAAACUCAAAUGAAUUGACGGGG